rnacentral:lncRNA from 1 species
GUUGAAAACUGCUUUGUGAAUAUUCAUUUGUGUGUGUAUGUAUGUGUGUGUGAAAGAGAAAAGAGAGGAAGAGGGUGAAAGAGGGUGAGAGAAGAUAGGGGAGCAAGAAAGAGAGAGGAAGUCAAGAAACAGCCUAACAUAUAUUACUUGAAAAUAAAUCAGCUUUUUAAAGUAAUGGCUAUAGUCAUCAACUCUGAAAUCAAAGCAUCUAUGCAUACAUUAAAUAUUCUAUUUCAAAUUGACUGUAUAAUUGUCUGUUUUAAUAAGCUGUCUAAAAAUGUAAGUUCCAUCACACUGUACAUAUACUAGUAGAAUCCCUCUGUAUCCCUAAAGAUAUGAGUUCUUAUGCCAUAUACAAAUUAUUCCCUGCUUUAUAUAAACUUAUUAUUUUUAAAGAUUUUUAAAAUUCAAGUAUAGUUGACUUAAAAUAUUAUGUUAGUUUCAGGUGUACAACAUAGUGAUGCAACACUUUUAUAGAUCAUACUUCAAAGUUAUCAUAAAAUAUCGACUGUAUUCCCUGUGCUGUAAAAUUUAUCCUUGACUUUUAAAUGAUAUACAUGGGAGAUAUUUUAAUAAGAAAAAUCAUGUAUUUAUUGUGGAAAAUUAUAGCCUUUUAAGUAAGCUAGUUCCCCAUGGGAACAAUAGUUCUAUUGCUUAAAUAGUGAAGAAAAUCAAUUGCUUUUUCCUGGCUGUGAGUUUGCCAGCUAGGUUUUGGUAUCUCAUUUCCUUGUGAAUCACAGUCACAGUUUAUUCUUUUGUAAUUGAAUGCAUGGUUGUGCUUCAUUGUGAGACAGUGGUAUGUGAUCCAUUUUGCUAGCACACCCACUACCCAUCUCGAGCACCUCUCAUGUGCAUAGCUGUCUUUUCUUGACUGGUGUCAAUAGUCUGUGCUAUCAAUUUGUUGUAAGAAAUCUGGAAAAAAAAUUGUCCAUGUGGGGGCUUUUUAAUUUAUACCUUGCCUCACUGCCUAUCUCUUUACUAAUUUUCCCCCAGAAGAAGAGGUUCAAUAUAUCAGCAUAUCUCGCUACUGAUCAUGACCUUGCUUAGCCAGCAAUCUAUUUAUCUGUUUAUUUGGUUAUUUAAUUAAUGUAAUUAUUUAUCUGGUUCAGUAGAAAUAUAAAAUAAUUUAAAAAACCCAAAGUUAAAAUAAUAAAACAAAACCUAAAAAAGGACGAGAGAGGAGUUCCUGUUGUGGCUCAGUGGUAAACCCCCACAAGUAUCCAUGAGGAUUGCAGGUUUGAUCCCUGGCCUUGAUCAGUGGGUUACAGAUCUGGCGUUGCCAUGAGCUGUGGGAUCUGGUGUAUUGCUAUGGCUGUGGCGUAGGCUGGUGGCUACAACUUUGAUCCAACCCCUAGCCUGGGAACUUCCAUAUGCCUUGGGUGCAACCCUAAAAAGACAAAAGAGAGAAAAUUCACAAGUGAAAUAACACUAACAGAAAAAGAAUGUCCAAGUAGCACAGCAUAUAGCCUUGAGCUGUUCUUAGGGCUGAUGCACAUAUCCGUCUCAUAUAUCUUUAGGCUAAAGACAAUUUCAUAGUUGUCAAUAUCCCAAAGGAAAAAAAUACUAGCUCAUUGGCGCUAACCAAAAUUUCUCAUAUUAGUUAAUUCAAGGAAUUUUUUUCAUAUUACCUACAUAUAGAAAGCCUAUACCCCUUCAACUGCAGAUUUGAAAAUUCUGAUUCCAUCAACAAAUGAUAGGUGAAAUUGUUCCUGCAAAAAUCUCACUCUGACAGUAAACUUUUAAAUUUAUAACAAUCUAGUUUCCAUCCCUCUUUUUUAUUACCAAGAGAGCUUUGAAGCCAAGGCUUCCUAAAAGAUUGUGGCAAUUCAAGAAUCAUUUGGGUAGACGCUAUUUGCCCAACAUUAUAAGAGAUGCUCAGAGUAUAAAGAUAGAGCUUGCCACACCCAGAGAGUUUUUACCUAUUAGAAAAGAAUCUCCCACCAGAGUGCUCAGAUCAUAUGGAUUAGCUGGUAGAUGUGUUACCCAGAUUUUGAGUCAGCCCCAACAAGGGUCCUCCUGCUGGGUGUCCCUUGCUCCCAUAAAAGAAGACUGAGUUCAGUUCGGAAGCAAAGGAAAGCUUUAGUGUUUGAUCAGAGAAUGGAGAGCCUUGAUCCAGAGCACCAGAGUACACGCUCACCCAGACAGGCUGUGGGCAGGGCUGCUUUAUGGGGCUCUGGGUUGGGGAGGAGGGAGGGCGGGGUUCAUCCCCAGGCAGGCGCCCCUGCUGCUCACAGCUCAGAGCGCAGCGCCCCGCGCAGCCUCUGCACACGGCCCGCCGCCAGCGCCAUCUUGAAUUGAGGUGCGGGCGCAGCGCUUCUGCCCUCGGCGCAGCCUUCCUCUGUGGUGCCCACCGAGGUGACUGCGGCUGCAGACGGUACCAGUUCACGGAACCCUGGAGGUGGCCGGCCACACCUACCUCUGGAGUCAGAGAUAACUGCAGCGGUUUGCCCUGGCCACCUGUAGACCAUGCAAGAAGCCCCCCAUCCCGCUUAGCCCACACAGGUGCUGCUGCCAGGCUGCUCCUAGUCGCAGGGUCCUGAGAAGUGACAAUGAUCAAGUGUGUGGGCGCUGCCUGGAGCCUCUGGCAGUGGCAGCAGCGGGGCGCAGCCGUUUGGCACUGGGAACUCUGCUCAGGUGUGAAGCCUCUUCCCACGGCACCCUAUGAACCAGUGACAGUGGACUCCGGAAAAGCAAAGAAAG